AGUGAACGCUGGCGGUAGGCCUAACACAUGCAAGUCGAACGGCAGCACAGUAAGAGCUUGCUCUUACGGGUGGCGAGUGGCGGACGGGUGAGGAAUACAUCGGAAUCUACUUUUUCGUGGGGGAUAACGUAGGGAAACUUACGCUAAUACCGCAUACGACCUACGGGUGAAAGCAGGGGAUCUUCGGACCUUGCGCGAUUGAAUGAGCCGAUGUCGGAUUAGCUAGUUGGCGGGGUAAAGGCCCACCAAGGCGACGAUCCGUAGCUGGCCUGAGAGGAUGAUCAGCCACACUGGAACUGAGACACGGUCCAGACUCCUGCGGGAGGCAGCAGUGGGGAAUAUUGGACAAUGGGCGCAAGCCUGAUCCAGCCAUACCGCGUGGGUGAAGAAGGCCUUCGGGUUGUAAAGCCCUUUUGUUGGGAAAGAAAAGCAGCAGGUUAAUACCCCGCUGUUCUGACGGUACCCAAAGAAUAAGCACCGGCUAACUUCGUG
rnacentral:rRNA from 1 species